AGUGAACGCUGGCGGUAGGCCUAACACAUGCAAGUCGAACGGCAGCACAGGAGAGCUUGCUCUCUGGGUGGCGAGUGGCGGACGGGUGAGGAAUACAUCGGAAUCUACUCUGUCGUGGGGGAUAACGUAGGGAAACUUACGCUAAUACCGCAUACGACCUACGGGUGAAAGCAGGGGAUCGUCGGACCUUGCGCGAUUGAAUGAGCCGAUGUCGGAUUAGCUAGUUGGCGGGGUAAAGGCCCACCAAGGCGACGAUCCGUAGCUGGUCUGAGAGGAUGAUCAGCCACACUGGAACUGAGACACGGUCCAGACUCCUACGGGAGGCAGCAGUGGGGAAUAUUGGACAAUGGGCGCAAGCCUGAUCCAGCCAUACCGCGUGGGUGAAGAAGGCCUUCGGGUUGUAAAGCCCUUUCGUUGGGAAAGAAAUCCAGCUGGUUAAUACCCGGUUGGGAUGACGGUACCCAAAGAAUAAGCACCGACUAACUUCGUGCCAGCAGCCGCCGUAA
rnacentral:rRNA from 1 species